rnacentral:rRNA from 1 species
UACGAAGGGGGCUAGCGUUGCUCGGAAUUACUGGGCGUAAAGGGAGCGUAGGCGGGUCGUCAAGUUGGGGGUGAAAGCCCAGGGCUCAACCUUGGAAUUGCCUUCAAAACUGACGAUCUAGAGUAUGGAAGAGGUAAGUGGAACUCCGAGUGUAGAGGUGAAAUUCGUAGAUAUUCGGAAGAACACCAGUGGCGAAGGCGACUUACUGGCCCAUGACUGACGCUGAGGCUCGAAAGCGUGGGGAGCAAACAGG